GAAAAGGAGAAGAGAGUGGCGUAGAGAGGGUGUUUCGGCGCUGGUUUAAACGCGACGCAUGCGUUCCCCACGCGAGAGGAUGUCCGGGGUGAGCCGUCGCCGUACUCUGGCCGACGUAUCGCAGUUUCUAGCUCGAUGUUUGUCCGCGUGGUACUCCCAGGGACGGUGCUGCUCGUCCCAACCACGAGGGUGUCGGAAUACAAAACACCCCGAGAGACUACGCAAUUCGGACCGCUUUGAGCUCGACGAGGAAACGAGAGAAUACGCGCGGCACACGGACAGCUUACGAGUCGAGAAGAAAGUACUUGUAUCGAUACAUCCGGCAACGAGAUCUUCGACGCUUGCGCUCCUGGGCCAACCGACCAAAACUUGCCACCGGUUUCUUUCUUUUUCCUACUUCGGCGCCAAGCUCGGACCCUUCGUCGUUCAACUAUGGAACUCGCAAGGCCCCUGGGAGCACGGCAAGCUUCUACCCGAAGUAAACAGUUCGACAAGGAAACCCUCGCCGUCACCGUGAUACUAUUUUCGACCGGGAAGGAAGGAACCAGCGGACUUUGAGUCAGAGAUAUAAACAGGUCAACGUAACUUGGCAACGGAAUCGUUGAGAAGAACGGGAAAGGACGAGGAGAAAAGAUGGAGAAAGACGAGCACCGUAGCGUAUCUCCGGAGGGAAAAGCGUGUUUCUUUGCUCCUGGUGAUAAUAAAAAAUUCCAAGGCAAAAAACUGCAACUUUGCCCGGUCUUCCGUUCGCGGAGAAGCCAAAUGAACAAGGAAAAACGAAAGCAAGAAACAGAAGAAAAGAAAGAGAUAAGAGAAGGAAGAAUGGGCUAGUGUUUAUCGUGCGAUUGCCGAAGGCGGCUAUUUUGCCGCUGCACUGUCACCGCGUCGUAACGGAAAUAAAAGAAAAACAUACUUUCGCAGUUUCCAUCGCUUUUCUCUAAACUACCACGGAGCCAUUAUCCGAGCUACGCUCCCGCAGCAUUUUAUUCCGUGUCUAACUUACUUUUCGUGCUUUAAACCGAAUAAUUGAACCAGGCUACCGAAUCAUUCGCAUUUCAAAGUACGUACUUUCGCUAGAGCACUCGCUACAUUUUCUAUUUAUUACUCCACUGAUAUUUGGAAAUAGAAUAUUUCCAUUAAGAUGACAGUUUUAUUCAGCCGUUAACGAGGUUCGCGCUAAGUUUUAUAUGUCAACGAAAUUAAGAAUUAUACCGAUGUUCGGGAAAUUGUUAUUGAUCGUGAAAGCAUAAAAGUUAGAUUAACUGGAAGCUAAUCGAGAACGUCGCGACGCCAAACAAUUUCAAUUUUGCAAUCCACUCUGACCUGAUUCUAAAGAUAGAGGUGGCCUCUUUGCCCUCUCGCCUCAUUCUACGAGCAACUGAUAUCGAUACAUUGAACGUAAACGUGUCUACGGCGUGGCACAUACUACGAAACUCGAUACACGAGAAAAGGAAAACGCGAAGAAGGAUGCUACGAGAGAGAAGCUGCCUCGAAGGACUAGGAAUACGACUAUCACCUUCUCCUUUUCCACUUCUUCGCUACUGGAUAACAGACACGAGGCUCUAAGAACGCGCGAAGGAAGCAAAUAGAAGGAAAAUAGAACCGGAACGCACAAGUGACGAAGAUGUUGGAUAAAAGCAUCAUGAUUUAGUAAUGGCCUCGCUUUUACCUAUUCUCUGUGCACUCAUAGUCUACUUAUAAACCAAAAUAGUAGCUUCGUGUCUUACAGUUUCCCUUAUUGUACCAUAAGGCAUAACAUCGAAACUUUCAGAUCUCACGAGACAGUCUCGGUAUAAUCUGAGUAGGAAAUAUCACGUUAAUGUAUCGCGAUAAUAUCACGUUUGUCUCUUUUUUUGUACGAUCACGUGGCGUUAAUCAAGUAAAAUUACGAGAUUUUUAACAAGAAAAUAUUUUUAUUAAAUAAAAGCGUUCUACAUAUUUGAACGCUCGAAACAAAAUCCUUCGGCUCAUAUUCGCGCGAUUAACAAUGAACCCAUGGCUCUUCUUGUCACGGACGCAAACUUCCAUAGUGAGAAAUGAACACGCUUUAGGUGUCUGAACUUUGAUGUACGCUGCGGGUUCCUGUCUAGCUAUACGUAUGGUGCACAAAUUCAAAUAUCGGUGCACGCACAGCUCCGUUUAUGAAGGAAAUAGAGAAGACUAAUAAAGAUCGCAGCAGGGCGCCUAAUAAACUCUCAGCGUAUUAUGUGAUCCUGUAAUCCUACGUUCCCCUCGUAUUUGCAACUUACGUUUCAAUCAUUGAAAGAUAUCGCAUCCCAGUUCCGAUAUAUAAUAAAAUAUUUUACUAGUGUACAAGGAAACUAACAAGAAAUAAUUCGUACUGGACAGAGUGGAAAAAAGAAUCAAACGUUGUAAAAUAUUACGUUAUAAAGUACUGCGUUGUAAAAUUAUAGCACAAGAUUACCGAAACGUGUAAUACGAAAUUUAAAUGGAUUUGAAUCUUUUAUAAAAUUCCUCUUUGUUAAAAAUGGAAU